rnacentral:lncRNA from 1 species
GUAUCCAAAAACACCUAACUAUUUCUUGAAAAGCUGUGCUAUUGGCAUCUAUCUUAAGAUGCCUUGCUUGUUUCUGCACCCGGGUUCUCCAAUAGUUCUUGAUUUCAUUAUCUGUUCUUCCUGGUAAAUGCUGUGCAAUUUUCGACCACCUAUAUUCACAUAAUUACCAUAUCAAUAUAACUAUUCCUUUAAAAAACUAAUACAGUGAAAAAGAAUGUUUUAUAUUUCAGGGGAAUAGGAUCAGAAUCAAAUGAUGUCACUGCACAUAAUGUUAAGAUGGUGGGCUCAACUUGAAUGACAAAGUAAAAAUCCUUACCUGUUACCCAACUUAGAAUGAAGAUCAAGAAUCAAA